rnacentral:piRNA from 1 species
UGGGAACACGGUUUUGCCUAAAGUGCCUUUU